AUUCCUCCAUGAUAAUACACAGCCGUAACCAUAUUAUACGAAAACGUUCUGCAGAGGCCUCCGUAUAGUAGAAUCUGACCUUCAAACAACGCCACAUUGCCUUGAACCUGUAUUGCAGCAUAGCGUUGGCUGUUUUACAGGUGGAAGUCUGUACUCAAGGAAUAACUGUAUGCAAGGUGUGACGCAAAAUGGCGUUGUCAGUUCCGACAAGAGAUCCUUUUUCUAACCUGCCUUAUGAGUUGAAGGUUCUCAUACUUCAACAUCUUUCAGCUGAGGACCUGUGUCACGUGGCAUUAUGUAAUCGAUCCUGGAGAGAAGCCACCAAUGACGAUGCUCUAUGGCGCCCUCUUUGCCGAGAGAAGCGAUGGGAGAAGUUUGAUGCAGUCGUUGAUCUUUGU